GCAAUGUAAAAAAAACAAUUAUAUUUUAUUUUUAAAAUAAGCAAGCAUUUUUACACACACUAAAUCAUAGCAUAGGCAUAUUUACAUCGAAAGAGUUAUCCACUCUGUCGUACAGUUAGCAAAUAUUGUAAGCUCACUAUUACAAACAAGAGAAUAGGAAGUAAAAAAAUUGUACAAGGCAUAUAGAAGGCAAUACUGUCAACAUACAAAUAACAUCCAAUAUUAUGCCAAAACAUCGCCCUGCAUUCAAUACACUCUUUACUAUGCUCCCACCACAGCAGAAAUGAUUGACAGAGUUAAUUUUUUUAAAUACAAGGUUUGAGCUACUUACUGUUACUACGGCUCUAACAAUUUUCCUAGAUGUUCGCCAGUUUAUUAUAUCUUUAGGGGGGAACAAAUUACAAAUUACUAUUGGGAUUGGCCACAUAGUGAAAACUCUGGCUAGACCGUUAUUUUUUUUAAAAAUAUAAUCAUCUAAAAUUAAAUUCGGCUUACAUAUAUUCUUAUUCUUUUAACAAAGGCCAGUUAAAAUAAACAAAAUAAAUACAUUUUAGCAGUCAAACACAAGCUAAGCUGUAAUAUAGUUGUCAAUGGAUAUGUUCAGAACAACAAUGUAAAACAAAAAUACCAACACAGUAUUCGUGUCAAGAC